rnacentral:rRNA from 1 species
UACGUAGGUGGCAAGCGUUGUCCGGAUUUACUGGGCGUAAAGGGCGUGCAGGCGGUCUGUUAAGUCUAGGGUGAAAGCUCCCGGCUCAACUGGGAGAGGUCCUUGGAUACUGGCGGACUUGAGGGAGGCAGAGGAGAAUAGAAUUCCCGGUGUAGUGGUGAUAUGCGUAGAUAUCGGGAGGAAUACCAGUGGCGAAGGCGGCAUCCUGGACCGACAUUGACGCUGAUGAGCGAAAGCUAGGGGAGCAAACGGG